rnacentral:rRNA from 1 species
UGGGGAAUAUUGGACAAUGGGCGAAAGCCUGAUCCAGCCAUGCCGCGUGUGUGAAGAAGGUCUUCGGAUUGUAAAGCACUUUAAGUUGGGAGGAAGGGCAUUAACCUAAUACGUUAGUGUUUUGACGUUACCGACAGAAUAAGCACCGGCUAACUCUGUGCCAGCAGCCGCGGUAAUACAGAGGGUGCAAGCGUUAAUCGGAAUUACUGGGCGUAAAGCGCGCGUAGGUGGUUUGUUAAGUUGGAUGUGAAAUCCCCGGGCUCAACCUGGGAACUGCAUUCAAAACUGACUGACUAGAGGAUGGUAGAGGGUGGUGGAAUUUCCUGUGUAGCGGUGAAAUGCGUAGAUAUAGGAAGGAACACCAGUGGCGAAGGCGACCACCUGGACUAAUACUGACACUGAGGUGCGAAAGCGUGGGGAGCAAACA